UAGGCACGAGUCGAGCGAGUCUAUAGAUUUCUAGGAACGAAGACGAAAGUUUACUUUACAUGAAUAAUCACCGUUAAUCUUCGUUAUCUAGGAGGGUUUCGCGAGAUAUCGAGUCGUCAAUUUUCUUCCAACAGAAGGAUAUUCGGGGAAUUUUCUUGGCUGACAGUGAUGGACGGAUAACCUACGCACGACCUCGCGAAGGUUUCUUCGAAGGAAGAUCCAAGAUCCGCGUUCGACCGUGGCCCGCGCUCUCAUCGGGGGAAGUUAGCGGCACGAGGGUAACCUCGAGAAACAAGCGACGACGUGGAUAUAGGAUCGCGGAUAGAGGUGGCUCGCGGCGCUUCACCAAGAGCAAUAUACGCGUCAUAUAUCACCUGGCUGUAGCCAAUGCUACGGCGGAGAAGGAAAGGUGUGCGUGAGGCUAUCUGCGCGCCAUAAAACACUCGCGCCCUGCUCCACGAGGGGUUGCUGGCCGUUCGGUGGCGGAUGUCACCACAGGUGCGGACAUUCUCAUCAUAAAUACCGGUCCUGCGAUACCUACACCCGUUUGCU